rnacentral:rRNA from 1 species
GACGAAGGGGGCUAGCGUUGUUCGGAAUUACUGGGCGUAAAGCGAGUGUAGGUGGUUGUCCAAGUUGGAUGUGAAAGCCUUGAGCUCAACUCAAGAAAUGCAUUCAGGACUGGGCGGCUAGAGGACCGGAGAGGAUAGUGGAAUUCCCAGUGUAGUGGUGAAAUACGUAGAGAUUGGGAAGAACACCAGUGGCGAAGGCGGCUAUCUGGACGGUUUCUGACACUAAGACUCGAAAGCGUGGGGAGCAACAGG